CGAGAGGGGUGGGAUAGGGAGGAUGGGAGGGAGGCUCAAGAGGGAGGGGAUAUGGGGGUAUAUGUAUACAUAUGGCUGAUUCACUUUGUUGUACAACAGAAACUAACACAGUAUUGUGAAGCAAAUAUACUCCAAUAAAGAUAUAUUAAAAUAAACAGGGCUUCCCUGGUGGCGCAGUGGUUGAGAGUCCACCAGCAGAUGCAGGGGACACGGGUUCGUGCCCCGGUCCAGGAAGAUCCCACAUGCCGUGGAGCGGCUAGGCCUGUGAGCCAUGGCCGCUGAUCCUGUGCGUCAAGAGCCUGUGCUCCACAACGGAAGAGGCCACAACAGUGAGAGGCCCGAGUACCGCAAAAACAAAACAAACAAAAAAAAACAACUUUGUCCCAGUAGCUCUAAGUGGAUGGAGGUCAAAAUUAGAAUCCCAAAGUACACUGGCUUCUGCUGUUCCUCUUGCUGGAUCCUGAAUCUCCUAGUAAAUAUGAUGUUGCUAUAAAGGUGCAUGGCCUAAGCAACACCAAAAAUGUAAGUUUGGGAAAAGUAUAUGAAUACUGUUCUGAGCCUACUCCAGACAAACUUACAAGCUCACUUCUGGCAAGGAUAAUAUUUUUCAUUGACUGUGUUUUUGUGUCUCAUGGUCUGGGCUAGUGGCUCCACGAUCCUUGUCCUGCACAGACACAAGCAGCAAGUCCAACACAUUCACAGCAACAGCCUCUCCCUGAGACCAUCCCACGAGGCCAGAGCCACAGGCACCAUCCCGAUCUUGGUGAGCUUCUUUGUUUUACUUUAUUCUCUUUCUUCCAUUUUGACUUUCUGUGUAGUCUUAAGUGUGAAUCCAGCCCAAUGGCUGGUGAACACAUGUGUGUUCGUGGCUUUAUGUUUCCCGACUCUCAGCCCCUUCGUGCUCAUCACCCAUGACACGCGUGUCUCUAAGUUACGCUUUGCGAAGAUUGCUUUUUUCUUCAUGGGGUGUAAUAUGUCCUCUACAGGGCACUAAAUUACCCUUUUCCUUCUUUAUUCACAUGCAAAUGUCUACCAAGUGCCAGUUCUCUGAGGUAGCACUGCUCAGUUUGUGGGAUCUUAGUUCCCCAACCAGGGAUCGAACCCAUGCCCCCAGAAUGGAAGCACAGUCCUAAUCACUGGACUGGCAGGGAAGUCCCAUCUCCAAGGCAGUUUUUUUUUUUUUCUUUUAAAUUAAUUAAUUAAUUAAUUUUUGGCUGUGUUGGGUCUUCGUUUCUAUGCCAGGGAUUUCUCUAGUUGCAGCAAGCGGGGGCCACUCUUCAUCACCGUGCAUGGGCCUCUCACUAUCGCGGAGCACAGGCUCCAGACGCACAGGCUCAGUAGUUGUGGCUCAUGGGCCUAGUUGUUCUGCAGCAUGUGGGAUCUUCCCAGACCAGGGCUCGAACCCAUGUCCCCUGCAUUGGCAGGCAGAUUCUCAACCACUGCUCCACUAGGGAAGCCCCUGAGGCAGUUUUGAUUAAGGUAAUGUAUUAAAAAUGGAAUUAUAAAAAAACAACAACAAAAAACAGAAACUGCCCUAUUAGAUUUAGCCAAAUCGGGACCUAUAGGUAAAUAGUUAUACAAAGACCGUGAACGUAGUUUUACCACGUCCUUCAGAAAUGGCUGAGGAUAUUUAGAAAUAGUAUAAAACUUCCCUGGUGGCACAGUGGAUAAGAAUCUGCCUGCCAUUGCAGGGGACACAGGUUUGAGCCCUGGUCUGGGAAGAUCCCACAUGCCACGGAGCAACUAAGCCUGCCAGCCACAACUACUGAAGCCCAUGUGCCUAGGGCCCAUGCUCCGCAAAAAGAGAAGCCACUGUAAUGAGAAGUCCGCGCACCGCAACAAAGAAUAGCACGCCCCCCUGCCCCACCGCACCUAGAGAAAGCCUGCACGCAGCAACGAAGACCCAACGCAGCCUAAAUAAAUAAAAACAGAGAUAGUAUCCCUUGUCAGGGAACUAAGAUCCCACAUGCCCAUGCAGUGUGGGCCUCCCCCACCAAAAAAUUUUAAAAAAAAGUAUUUCAAUUUAAGAUUUUAUUUUACGUAAGAUACUCAGGGAUUUUAUGGCACUAUUUUUUUUUUUUUUUGGCUUUUCUAUAUUACCACUGGAAUUACAUUUCAUUUUUCUUUUUAAGUUUCUUUACUCAGUUUUAUUCUCCUGUGGAUAUAUAGGGGAGUCUUCCAAAGACUUCAUGGGAUAUUCACAAUUAACUGUGUGAGGCUGGAAUUCCUCUUUGUAUUUCAAACAAAACAUCCUAUUGUAUCAGAUUGAAUGCAGAGGCAAUAUAUUUCAUUUCUUGAGAAUGUAUAUACACACACAUGUAUAUACAAUUGUGCACCAAAUUUUUCCACUAUAAAGCUUGCUCACACUAUUUUGGGUUUACCUUUUCCAUUUUUUUUAAUAGAAAUUCAUAUAUUCCCUAAUAUUCUUUUUUUAAAAAUUGAAGAAUAGUUGAUUUACAGUGUUGUGUUAGUUUCAGGUGUGUAGCAAAGUGAUUCAGUUACACAUACAUGUUAAUAUGUAUCUUUUUUUUAAAUUCCUUUUUCUUAUAGGUUAUUACAAAAUAUUGAGUAUAUAGUUUCCUGUGCUAUACAGUAGGUCCUGGUUGUUUAUCUCUAAUAUUCUUUUUGCCUGUGAAUACACAGUAGACAAAGAAGAAUCCUUAAUUCUCCCAUUACUUCAAAUCUCACAGGACUUAGGUUUGGGAGAGGGGUGAGUACUUUUCAUGUCAAACCAAUCCAAAUGCUUUCCAGUUCGUAAACCAAGGUUGCCAGAUGACAUUUGCUGACUGCAAACAUUGGGUCAUUUUCUACUCCAAUUCAUAACUAUAAAGUGAAAAUUGUGGUCUAGGGCUUGAUCCCGCUCUGAUUAAUCUCAGUUUACAUGGGAACAUGACGCACCCCUAGAGGAAACGAUUCCUACCCUACCUUGAUGGGAUCCCCUCCCAGGCGAAACCACCUCAAAGUAACAGUAAAUACUGACUUUGCUCAGACCCUUUCUUACUCAGUCCUUGCUACUCCUUACUUCUAUAUCCUUUCCUUGUUCAUUUUAUAUUUUCUAGCAGCAACAAGAUCUGCUCAAAAGAGAUCUUAAAAACUCUCAGAUGGGGACAUCCUGAGUGGUCUGUGGGUUAGAUUCCUGGUCAGGGAGCUAGGAUCCCACAUGCCUCGGGGCCAAAAAACCAAAACAGAAGCAAUAUUGUAACAAAUUCAGUAACGACUUUAAAAAUGGUCCACAUUAAAAAAAAAAAAAAGGGACUUCCCUGGUGGCACAGUGGGUACGACUCCACACUCCCAAUGCAGGGGGCCCUGUUUCAAUCCCUGGUCAGGGAACUAGAUCCCCCAUGCAUGCCACAACUAUAAGUGCACAUGCCACAACUAAGGAGCCCACCUGCCACAACUAAGACCCAAUGCAACCAAAUAAAUAAAUAUAUUUUUUAAAAAAACCCUCUCAGAUGUAGUUCCUGUCAAUUUGGAAAAUCACACAAAACUUACCUGGUAUUUGGAGAUUAGUGAGGUGCCCUAUAGUUUGCUCUUUUUUAUCCUGUUAGAUUCCAAGACACAGUACCAGGUUUUCAGGGUGUAAUCAAAGCUCUUCCUCAUGGUAUAGGGGUCACAACUCUCAGAAUCACUUUUUUGAGAAUCCUCAGUAAGGUAUGGCACUGUAGGAGACGCUGCUGUUACACAUGCUGCGAUGACCCUGGGAGUUUAUAGACUGUGAAGCAAAACGGAAAUUCGAUUAAGCCUGACAAAUAAUAUUUAAAACUAAUGAACUUAAAUUUACGUUUAGUUACGUAUGGAAUGGACAACAGUAAAAUGCAUGAACUCUUUCUCCCCUGCAUUAAAGAGAGAUUCAGAUUUGCACAAUUGUCCAUAAUAUACAACAUGAUUUUCACUGGGCACAAAGGUAGACCAACAAACUUGAUUCUUCAUCAAGUUGCUUCAGCCAGACUUUUAGUUAUUUUCUCAGAAAGGAUCCCUCACACAAUGGCAGCUUUUGGAUUGAAAUACUUCCAGUAAACUCUUCUAUUUUCUCAGAGUGGCGGGAGGGGAUGUCCCUCAACCCUAUCUGCCUCUUAAGUGGCUUCCAGAGACACAAGAGAGGCCCCAAUCAUCUAUUUUUUAGGACAUCAUUUAAUGGUUUUUCCUGAUAGUGUUCCCUGUAGUGUAUAGUUCUUUGACAUAUAGUCGAAAAUUUCCUGUAUUAUACCUUUGUAUAAAUGCAAUCAUAUCUUAUGGAAUCUGUUUGGUCUAACUUCUUUCACACAAUAAAUCUCUGUAAGACUCAUCCACGUCACUGCAUGUUCUCUGUCUUACUCAUUUUCACUGCUGUUAAGAAUUCUAUUGUCAUAAAUUAUCUAGCCAUUCUCCCGCUGCUGAGCCUUUGGGUUGCUUCCAAUUUGGGACAGGUACAACAAUGAUACUAUACAUGUUUUUGUCUACGUAUUAUAAUGCAUAUAAGCAAAUAUUUUUCUAGGCUAGAAGUUCUCAAAACUUUUGAUCUCAGAACACUUUUUAAACCCUUAAAUGUAAUUGAGAAAUUCAAAGAGGUUUUGUUCAUAUGAAUUAUAUCCAUUGAGUGUUUUUUCCAUUUAAAGAUAAAUCCCUCUGUAAUCUAUAUGCAAUCCAUCUGCAAUUGAUUUUUUCCCUUAUUUUAUUGUGAAGGUUUCAAAUAAACAGCAAAAUAGAAUAAAUUUCAUAAGGGACAGCUAACUGUAAACUUAGCACCUGGCUCUAUCCACCCAUAAAUCCAUCUUAUUUUUUUAUACAUUCAAAGUAAAUUACGCACAUCUGUACACUUCCCUUAAAUAAUUCAGCAUGCUAAUCACGGAGUUCAAUAUUUGUUUAUUUUAUUUAUUUAUUUAUUUAUUUUGGCUUUGCUGUGCGGCUUGCAGGAUCUUAGUUCCCCAACCAGGGAUCGAACCCAGGCCCCCAGUAGCGGAAGCCCAGACUCUUAACCACUGGACUGCCAGGGAAUUCCUAACAGUCCAUCCUUUUGAUAUAAAAUAUAGAUACAGUGAAAUCCUCUAAUUGUAAAUGGAUAUUUACCGAGUUAUAUAGAACAUUACCAUCACCUAGGGAGUCCUCUCAUGCUCCUUCCCAGUCAGCCCUCACCCCCAGUCCUAAAGAAAACAAUGGUUUGAAUUUAUUUUUCCACCAAAUAUUAGGUUACUUAUUACAGAACUCUAUAUAAAUGGAAUUAUUUUGUAUGUACUCUUGUUGGUAAGGCUCCUUUCUCUCAGCAGUUUUGAAAUCCAUCCACAUCAAUGUAAAUCAUGGGUCCAUCUCUCUCUCUCUCUCUCUUUUUAAACAUUUUAUUUAUUUAUUUGACCGCACCAUGCCACUUGCGGGAUCUUAGUUCCCCAACCAGGGACUGAACCUGGGCCCUCGGCAGGGAAAGUGUGGAGUCCUAACAACUGGACCACCAGGGAACUCCUGAGUUCAUCUCUUUUCAUUGCCAAGUGACAAUAUGUUAUUUGGAUACAUCACAUUUGCUUCUCCAUCAUCCUGUAUGUGUAUGUGUGUAUAUCCACAUAUAUGUACAUAUACACACACACAUAUGAUUUUUAUUUUUAAAUUUUAAAUAAUUGUAGGUUCAUAUGAAAUUGCAAAAAAAAAAAAUGUACAGGGAUGUCCCAUGUACUUUUGUGCUGUUUUCUGCAAUGGUAACAGUUUACAAAGAUGUACUAAAAUAUCAAGGAUGGGGCUUCCCUGGUGGCGCAGUGGUUGAGAGUCCGCCUGUCAAUGCAGGGGACACGGGUUUGUGCCCUGGUCCGGGAAGAUCCCACAUGUCGCGGAGCGGCUGGGCCUGUGAACCUUGGCCGCUGAGCCUGCACGUCUGGAUCCUGUGCUCCGCAACGGGAGAGACCACAACAGUGAGAGGCCCGUACCGCAAAAAAAAAAAAAAAAAAACAAAAAAAAAAACAAAAUAUCAAGGAUGUUGCAAAAAACCUGCAAAAUAACCAGGUUUUUUUCAGAUUACACCAGUUUUAUAUGUACUUGUGUGUAUGUGUACCUGUGUAUAGUUCUAUGCAAUACCACCAAAUUCAAGAUGCAGAACUUUCCUGUCACCACAAGUUUCCUUUGUGCUACAAUUAUAGCCUCACCUUACCUAUUCCCCCCGCUGCCACCCCCACAUUCCCAGUCCCAGGCCACCACUAAUCUGUUUUCCACCUCUAUAAUUUGGUUGUGUUAUACAUGUUAUACAAAUGGAAUUUUAUAGUUUGUGACCUUUUAAGCUUGGUUUUUUAAAUUCAGUGUAAUGGACUUAUGAUCUGUGCCAAGUCAUUGCGUGUAUCAACAGUCAUCCCAUGUUACUGCUGUGUAGUAUUCCAUGCUAUGGCUAUAUCAUUAUUCAUUUAACUAUUCUCUUGGUGAAGGAUAACUGAGUUAUUGCCAGUUUGGGACUAUCACAAAUAAAGCUGCCAUUUGUACAGUGUGCAGAUUUUGUAUUAUUAUGUUUUCACUUCUCUGGGACAAAUACUUAGGAAUGCAAUUGCUGCGUCAUAGGGGCAGUGCAUUUUUACUAUUGUAAAAAACUUCCAAACUAUUUCCACAGUGGCUGCAUCAUUUUAUAUUCUCACAAGAAAGGUAUAAAACUUUCACUUUCUCAUGUUCACCAGCAUUUAGCGUCAUCACUAUUUUUUCUCAUUUUAGCCAUUCUGAUAUAUGUAUCUGAUUCUGGUUUUAAUUUGCAUUCCCUAAUGCCUAAUAAUAUUGAAUAUCAUUUUAUGUGCUUAUUUGUCAUCUGUUUCUCUUCUUCAGGUUCUGUCUUUUGUUUAUUUUCCUGUUGGACUGCUGUUGAAUUUUAAGAGCUCUUUAUAUAUUCUAAGAACAAGGCUCUUGCUGAGUAUUCUGUUUGCAAAUAUUUUCUCCUACUCUGUAGCUUGCCUUUUCACCCUCUUCACAGUUCUUCAAUAGAGAAAAAGUUUUUAAAUUUGAGGAAGUUUAACUUUUUUUUCCCAUAGAUUUUACUUCAGUUGCCAUGUCUAAGAUCUCUGCUUAGUCGUAGGUGAGAAAGAUUUUUUUAUGUUUUCUUUAAAAAAAUUUUUUUAAUUACUUUAUUAUUAUUUUAUUUUUAGGAAUUUAAAUGUUUUCUUUUAAAUUUCUUUAAAUUGUUUUACAAUUUAGAUUUAAACCUGUGAUUUAUUUUGAGUUAAUUUUUGUAUAUUGUUUGAGGCUUAGGUUGAGGUCGGUUGUUUUUUUUUUUUCCUAUGAAUGUCCAAUUGCCCCAGCUACAUGUGAAUUGUUGUGUAGGAUAUCAUUCCUCCAUUUAAUUGAUAAUGCAACUGUAAAAAAUCAGUUGGGGGCUUCCCUGGUGGCACAGUGGUUGAGAAUCCGCCUGCCAAAGCAGGGGACACAGGUUUGAGCCCUGGUCCAGGAAGAUCCCUCAUGCCAUGGAGCAACUAAACCCAUACACCACAACUACUGAGCCUGUGCUCUAGAGCCUGUGAGCCACAACUACUGAGCCCGUGUGCCACAACUACUGAAGCCCACAUGUCUAGAGCCCGUGCUCUGCAACAAGAGAAGCCACCACAAAGAGAAGCCCAUGCACCACAAUGAAGAGGAGCCCCCGCUCAACACAACUAGAGAAAACCCACAUGCAACAACGAAGACUCAAUGCAGCCAAAAAUAAAAUUAAUUAAUUUUAAAAAAUCAGUUGGAAUCUAUAUGAAAAAUUAACUGGAAUCCUUAUGAAAUUCAUCUAAAUUGAUUUUUUUUUUACAUAAAGGCUGUUGUUUGAAUAAAUGAUGCACCAUUCACAUACUAUCUUUCUCUACAGGCAUAAUUUGAAUGAAGGUUCUCCUUACCAUGCCCAUGCGUGAUGUUACCUUCAGGAAAUAUCUUUUGUUUUCUUUUUUUUUUUUUGGCCACGCAGCAUGCAGGAUCUUAGUUCCCUGACUAGAGAUUAAACCUGUGACCCCUGCAGUGGAGGCGCAGAGUCACUGGACCGCCAGAGAAAUCCCCAGGAUAUAUUCUUAAGGGAAAAAAUGGAGUAUAAAUUUUACUUCUGGGACUUCCCUGGUGGCGCAGUGGUAAAGAAUCUGCCUGCCAAUGCAGGGGAGACGGGUUCAAGCCCUGGUCCAGGAAGAUCCCACAUGCCGCAGAGCAACUAAGCCCGUGUGCCACAGCUACUGAGCCUGCGCUCUAGAGCCCUUGAGUCACAACUACUGAGCCCGUGUGCCACAACUACUGAAGCCCGUGUGCUUAGAGCCCAUGCUCUGCAACAAGAGAAGCCACUGCAGUGAGAAGCCCGCACACUGCAACAAAGAGCAGCCCUGCUCACCGCAACUAGAGAAAGCCUGCGCACAGCAACAAAGACUCAACACAGCCAAAAAUAAAUAAAUAAAAUAAAUUUAUUAAAAAAAAUUUACUUCCUCAGGUAGAGUGUACAGUAUUCUACAAUUAUUCUUAUGAUUAUGAAGGAAUAAGAAUAUAAAUGUAAAUAAACACACAUGCACAUAUAUACAACUGCAUUUUAAAUACAUAUUUUAAUAUUUUAAAAUAUUUAAGAAUUAACUAGAAUCUUAAAAGAGUGAUGGGGCAGAGACAAAACAGUAUGGAGGAACAGGAAUAGAAUCUAGACAUAUGCAAAUUUACCUAAGUUAUAGUUUUGAAUUUUGGACAAAAAUAUUUUAUAUAUAAUUAUCAAAAAAUAUACCAAAAUGAAAUUAAAACAAUCAAAUUCAAUGACAAAAUUAUGACAAAACAUAUAAAAUUGACCAUAUAAUAAAUCUGUAGUUUAUCCAUACAAAAUUGUAAUAUUUCAAGUAUAUUUUAAAAUAUAAAUUUUGAUUGUAUAUUUCUACUGAAAUACAUGCAUUGAAAAUACCUAUAAAGAUCUUAACAUUUUAUGUGUAAUUUUAUUUUACAUAAAAUAUUGAUAUUAAUAUUUUGGUAUUAAUAAGUAAGUACAGUACACAGUGGAAACUGGGGCUUUGAUCAAAAGGGGAAAAAAGAAAUUGAAAAGAAUUAAAGUAAACACUGUAUAACUUUAAAUUUGCUUAGAAGAAUAAAUAUUAACUUGAUCUGUAUUUGAUUUAAGCCAUGUAUAUUUAUUUUACCUCUUUCCAUUAAACACAUCUACAUAUGA